rnacentral:rRNA from 1 species
AACGAACGCUGGCGGCAGGCCUAACACAUGCAAGUCGAGCGCGCCCUUCGGGGUGAGCGGCGGACGGGUUAGUAACGCGUGGGAAUAUGCCCAAAGGUACGGAAUAGCCUCUGGAAACGGAGAGUAAUACCGUAUGUGCCCUUCGGGGGAAAGAUUUAUCGCCUUUGGAUUAGCCCGCGUUAGAUUAGGUAGUUGGUGGGGUAAUGGCCUACCAAGCCUACGAUCUAUAGCUGGUUUUAGAGGAUGAUCAGCAACACUGGGACUGAGACACGGCCCAGACUCCUACGGGAGGCAGCAGUGGGGAAUUUUCCGCAAUGGGCGAAAGCCUGACGGAGCAAGACCGCGUGGGGGAGGAAGGUUUUUGGAUCGUAAACCCCUUUUGUCAAGGAAGAAGCUCUGACGGUACUUGACGAAUAAGCCUCGGCUAACUCCGUGCCAGCG